AGACCGGCGCACGGGUGCGUAACGCGUAUACAUCUACCUUUUACAGAGGGAUAGCCCAGAGAAAUUUGGAUUAAUACCUCAUAGUAUUUUUGAAUCGCAUGAUUUGAUUAUUAAAGUUCCAACGGUAAAAGAUGAGUAUGCGNNNCAUUAGCUAGAUGGUAAGGUAACGGCUUACCAUGGCUACGAUGGGUAGGGGUCCUGAGAGGGAGAUCCCCCACACUGGUACUGAGACACGGACCAGACUCCUACGGGAGGCAGCAGUGAGGAAUAUUGGACAAUGGGCGCAAGCCUGAUCCAGCCAUGCCGCGUGCAGGAAGAAGGUCCUAUGGAUUGUAAACUGCUUUUAUACAGGAAGAAACAACGCUACGUGUAGCGUCUUGACGGUACUGUAUGAAUAAGGACCGGCUAACUCCGUGCCAGCAGCCGCGGUAAUACGGAGGGUCCAAGCGUUAUCCGGAAUCAUUGGGUUUAAAGGGUCCGUAGGCGGCCAAAUAAGUCAGUGGUGAAAGCCCAUCGCUCAACGAUGGAACGGCCAUUGAUACUGUUUGGCUUGAAUUAUUAGGAAGUAACUAGAAUACGUAGUGUAGCGGUGAAAUGCUUAGAGAUUACAUGGAAUACCAAUUGCGAAGGCAGGUUACUACUAAUAUAUUGACGCUGAUGGACGAAAGCGUGGGGAGCGAACAGGAUUAGAUACCCUGGUAGUCCACGCCGUAAACGAUGGAUACUAGCUGUUCGGAGCAAUCUGAGUGGCUAAGCGAAAGUGAUAAGUAUCCCACCUGGGGAGUACGUUCGCAAGAAUGAAACUCAAAGGAAUUGACGGGGGCCCGCACAAGCGGUGGAGCAUGUGGUUUAAUU
rnacentral:rRNA from 1 species